GCAGGUCGAGCGCAGUGCUGUGACGCCGUGAGAGUGCUUUACGGCUCAGUCACGCGUGGACACUGGGUCCACGGAAUGAGACCUGCCAGCAUCGGGCAGUUACGUUACUUAUAUGCAGUAACCAGAUGUGAACUGAACUCAAUUUGGGAGACAGAGAAAUGUGAGGAGUGUUUUUGCAUACCAAGUGGAAUUCAAUGCUGCAACAACUUCCUGAGUAGCUGAGACUACAGGAUGAACCAACAGACCUGCCUCAUUUUUGUUUCUGAAAUUUGGUCAGUAUCGUUACUCUUAAAGACUUAUAUUCAAAUAAAUAUCUAAAUGUUUAUUAAUGCUGUUCUAGAAGUUGGCCUGGUGGUCACUCUAGCCUUGAUCUUGGAGAUUUCUAAGAACAGAAAAGAUCUGAGCACAGGCAGAAGGAAGAGCUGAGAGGUGCACUUGAUGACAUGCCAUGUGCUUACUGCUUUACUGUCCUUAUGAUGGCCCAAA